GACGAACGCUGGCGGCGUGCCUAAUACAUGCAAGUAGAACGCUGAAGGAGGAGCUUGCUUCUCUGGAUGAGUUGCGAACGGGUGAGUAACGCGUAGGUAACCUGCCUGGUAGCGGGGGAUAACUAUUGGAAACGAUAGCUAAUACCGCAUAAGAGUAGAUGUUGCAUGACAUUUGCUUAAAAGGUGCAAUUGCAUCACUACCAGAUGGACCUGCGUUGUAUUAGCUAGUUGGUGGGGUAACGGCUUACCAAGGCGACGAUACAUAGCCGACCUGAGAGGGUGAUCGGCCACACUGGGACUGAGACACGGCCCAGACUCCUACGGGAGGCAGCAGUAGGGAAUCUUCGGCAAUGGACGGAAGUCUGACCGAGCAACGCCGCGUGAGUGAAGAAGGUUUUCGGAUCGUAAAGCUCUGUUGUAAGAGAAGAACGAGUGUGAGAGUGGAAAGUUCACACUGUGACGGUAUCUUACCAGAAGGGGACGGCUAACUACGUG
rnacentral:rRNA from 1 species